rnacentral:rRNA from 1 species
AGGGUUGUGGAACUAAAAAGGUUUUAACCCUUGCCCACUGAUUGGAACAAAAUUAAAUGGCCGCGGUAUAUUGACCGUGCAAAGGUAGCAUAAUCGUUAGUUUUUUAAUUGGAAUCUUGUAUGAAUGGUUGGACAAAAGAAAAUCUGUCUUUAUAUUAUUAAUUGAAUUUAACUUUUAAGUGAAAAGGCUUAAAUGGAUUAAAGUGACGAUAAGACCCUAUAAAGCUUUAUAUAGAUAUAUUAUUUAAUUAAAUUUUUAAUAAAAAUUUAGUAGUAAAAUUUAUUUUAUUGGGGCGAUAAGAGUAAAAUUUUUAUUAACUGCUUUAAGUUUUGAAUACAUUUAUGUUUGAUUAAAAUUUUAAAUGAUCCUAAAUAAAGAUUAAAAGUUUAAGUUACUUUAGGGAUAACAGCGUUAUUUUUUUUGAGAGUACUUAUCGAAAAAAAAGUUUGCGACCUCGAUGUUGAAUUAAAAUUUCUUUAUAAUUGCAGAAGUUAUAAAAGUAGGUCUGUUCGACCUUUAAAAUUUUACAUGAUCUGAUUCCAAACCGAGA